CACAUGCAAGUCGAACGGUAACAGGGAUUGCUUGCAAUCCGCUGACGAGUGGCGCACGGGUGCGUAACGCGUAUGCAAUCUGCCUUACACUGGGGGAUAGCCUUUAGAAAUGAAGAUUAAUACCCCAUAGUCUGUGAGUAUCACCUGGUAUUUACAGUAAAGGUUACGGUGUAAGAUGAGCAUGCGUCCUAUUAGUUAGUUGGUAAGGUAACGGCUUACCAAGACGACGAUAGGUAGGGGCCCUGAGAGGGGGAUCCCCCACACUGGUACUGAGACACGGACCAGACUCCUACGGGAGGCAGCAGUGAGGAAUAUUGGACAAUGGGCGAGAGCCUGAUCCAGCCAUGCCGCGUGCAGGAAGACUGCCCUAUGGGUUGUAAACUGCUUUUAUACGGGAAGAAACCCUGCCACGUGUGGCGGGCUGACGGUACCGUAAGAAUAAGGAUCGGCUAACUCCGUGCCAGCAGCCGCGGUAAUACGGAGGAUCCAAGCGUUAUCCGGAAUCAUUGGGUUUAAAGGGUCCGUAGGUGGAUGAUUAAGUCAGGGGUGAAAGUCUGCGGCUCAACCGUAGAAUUGCCUUUGAUACUGGUCAUCUCGAAUCAUUGUGAAGUAGUUAGAAUAUGUAGUGUAGCGGUGAAAUGCAU
rnacentral:rRNA from 1 species